rnacentral:rRNA from 1 species
UGGGCAUUGGGGGGAACCCUGAUCAGCCUGCCGCGUGUGUGAAGAAGGCCUUUUGGUUGUAAAGCACUUUAAGCGAGGAGGAGGCUACUCUAGUUAAUACCUAGGGAUAGUGGACGUUACUCGCAGAAUAAGCACCGGCUAACUCUGUGCCAGCAGCCGCGGUAAUACAGAGGGUGCGAGCGUUAAUCGGAUUUACUGGGCGUAAAGCGUGCGUAGGUGGCCAAUUAAGUCAAAUGUGAAAUCCCCGAGCUUAACUUGGGAAUUGCAUUCGAUACUGGUUGGCUAGAGUAUGGGAGAGGAUGGUAGAAUUCCAGGUGUAGCGGUGAAAUGCGUAGAGAUCUGGAGGAAUACCGAUGGCGAAGGCAGCCAUCUGGCCUAAUACUGACACUGAGGUACGAAGGCAUGGGGA